rnacentral:rRNA from 1 species
UUUCCAGACUCCUACGGGAGGCAGCAGUGAGGAAUAUUGGUCAAUGGGCGCGAGCCUGAACCAGCCAAGUCGCGUGAGGGAAGACGGUCCUAUGGAUUGUAAACCUCUUUUGUCGGGGAGCAAAAGACGCCACGCGUGGCGUUCCGAGAGUACCCGAAGAAAAAGCAUCGGCUAACUCCGUGCCAGCAGCCGCGGUAAUACGGAGGAUGCGAGCGUUAUCCGGAUUUAUUGGGUUUAAAGGGGGCGGUGGCGGGGAGGUAAGUCCGCGGUAAAAUUGCGGGGCUCAACCCCGGCGAGCCGUUGAAACUGGCUUGCUAGAGUGGGCGAGAAGUAUGCGGAAUGCGUGGUGUAGCGGUGAAAUGCAUAGAUAUCACGCAGAACUCCGAUUGCGAAGGCAGCAUACCGGCGCCCUACUGACGCUGAGGCACGAAAGCGUGGGUAUCGAACAGGAUUAGAUACCCCCGUAUGU